AAAGACCAGAAACUGCUUGGGAUUCAGAGGGUUAAUAAUAACUCGAAAGGAAAAAAGGCUGUGACAUGAUAGAACAUUCAGUUUAUUACAUUUUUUAAUCAACAAAAUCAUUACAUAUGUACAUUUAGUGAAAACUGUAGUCCUACACUCAUGUAUUCAAAGUGCUAUCAACAUAUAACCUAACAGAACACAAAACAUGGUGGACACAAACACGACCUCAUACCAACAGAAACCUCCGUGACACGUCUACAAACGAGUGGAAAAACCUGCAAAUGACGAACUGACGCGAUCACUGAGAAUUUUCUCCAGUCGUCUCGGUGAGUAGUGGAACUAUUAUUCACAACAUUUAUUAACCACACUUGAGCUAAGACUCAAGACAACUAGGGCAUAAAUGUGUCAACAGACGUCUCAGUGGACUAACAACCUUCAGUGGAUGGGCACUUUGAGGCUCAAAUUAAUACGAGGGUUGUUGUUUUUUUUAUUGUUUUUUUUUUUUAAAUAACAUAAAAUAAAGUGACUACUGCAAAACUUAACACGAAAUAAGUGCUUGAACUUUUCCAGUUCCCCGGGAGUAUAGUAUCUAACGUAGCUCUAGAACCCAAACCAUCAGGAACAACUACAAGAAGAGGAGACGUUCAAAUAAGUGGUUUAGGUUUGACACUGACUGUUGCCUGAAAACUGAUUGUCAUUGGAAAUCUUUUAUUUUAGGAGAUGAUGCGUCUGGUGACCGACAGGCAACGAGUGUUAAAGUCAGUAUUCUUAGGUGUAACAUGGCAUUUCACAGCUGGGUCUACAAUAUUUUUAAGAAAACAUAAGACAUCCCGAAGCUGUUUUAACUAUUCCGUCAACAAAACUGGUAAACUCAAAAAGCCCAAAGUCGUCGCUUUGGUUGGAUCUCACGCCCACCGCUGUCUGCGUCGAAAGGCACUUCUUACUGGAGGAGGACAAACAUUCAAAUCAUGUAUUCAGAGAUACUCAUGCUUCUAAUGAAAGGACCUAAUGACGAUGUUUUCACGGCUCCUGUCGCUAUUUAAGCGAACUCAUUCUCUCAGGUCCUGCUAAUGGAUGCAAAACAAAACUGUGAAAAAAUGAGUUGUUUGUGUAGCCUGGCUUAAUGCGCAUUUUGGAUUUCAUUAUGGGGGCAUGUGUUGAAUGAAAAAUCUUACAUCACACUUCUCUGAUGGCGGCCAUUUUGUUGUAAAUACAAUCAAUUCAACAGUGCCCAUUUGAUGUGUAUGACUAUUUUGCUGUUGCUUUUCUUUCUAUCUUAGUCAUAAAGCUUGUCUGAACAUUUUGGAGGACCUUUGCUGAUAAUAAUAAUAAUAAAAAAAACUAAUUCUGCAACUAAAAUAUUUCAGGCAGGGGCAAAUAUUUUAUGGAGGGUAUGAAUUGACGUCACUUCCGCCCGAGGCCUCGCCCCCCGAAACAGGUGAAAUCUAUCAGUCAAUACGGGGAGACCGUGAAAAAUGUGGAUUAUCAGAUCAAAUCAAGGAAUAUUGGACUCGACAUUGAUCCAUACGAACUAGUAUGGAUUUAUAAAAGGCUGCACGGACAAAAUUGACAAAGGCAUAAUUUUCUUGAGUGUUGUUGGAGCUGCAAUGCCUAUUAGCAAGAGCAAGAGUUCAUAACACACACACAAGGCAGAGCAGAGGUUGUGUGUGCAGCAGCAGCAGCAGCGUCAGUCAUGAUGCCACCAAAGGGAAUCGAGGCUCAGACCGUGAGACGUGCGACGUGAAAUAUAAAACAUGACCCAGUCAGCCUGGCAAUCAAUGUCAAGUGGCUGGGUGAGUGUGUGUCAGGGCCACAGAGGCAGAAGACUACUCUUUAAAAAAAAAAAAAAAGAGGUGUGAAGACGGGUGACGCAAAGAAAGACACUGAGAAGGAAAAACAUAAAAAAAGGCAUUUUCCAGUGUGAGCUGAGGGAACAGCUCGUUGGAGGAAGUGGAGUGGGGCCGGUGUGGGCGUGAGGAUGAGUCCAUAACAGAUUGCUGAAACCGCUGGUGCGCAACCAGGCAUAUCCCUUUCACAUCUUUGCCAAGACAAUCCCUUCCCUUUCCUCAACCAAGGCCAAUUUAGGCUGGGGGAGGAAAAAAAAAAACAAGAAGGAGGCAGGGAGCCGAGCGCAGACACAGAGGGCGAAGCGGAUCUCAUCAUCUCCUCUGGCAUAAACUGUGGCGUUUGUUCAGCGGUGCCAGAGCCCGUGGCGAGAGGCGCGCUUUUGGACCGCAAACGCAGUAACACUUGGUCAAAUGGAAAAAAAAAAUAAAAAUAAAUACGAA